rnacentral:rRNA from 1 species
UGGGGAAUAUUGGACAAUGGGCGAAAGCCUGAUCCAGCAAUGCCGCGUGAGUGAUGAAGGCCUUAGGGUUGUAAAGCUCUUUUUUACCAGGGAUGAUAAUGACAGUACCUGGAGAAUAAGCUCCGGCUAACUCCGUGCCAGCAGCCGCGGUAAUACGGAGGGAGCUAGCGUUGUUCGGAAUUACUGGGCGUAAAGCGUACGUAGGCGGUGACUCAAGUCAGAGGUGAAAGCCUGGAGCUCAACUCCAGAACUGCCUUUGAAACUAGGUCGCUAGAAUCACGGAGAGGUGAGUGGAAUUCCGAGUGUAGAGGUGAAAUUCGUAGAUAUUCGGAAGAACACCAGUGGCGAAGGCGGCUCACUGGACGUGUAUUGACGCUGAGGUACGAAAGCGUGGGGAG